rnacentral:rRNA from 1 species
GAUGAACGCUGGCGGCGUGCCUAAUACAUGCAAGUCGAGCGAACAGAUAAGGAGCUUGCUCCUUUGACGUUAGCGGCGGACGGGUGAGUAACACGUGGAUAACCUACCUAUAAGACUGGGAUAACUUCGGGAAACCGGAGCUAAUACCGGAUAACAUAUUGAACCGCAUGGUUCAAUAGUGAAAGGCGGCUUUGCUGUCACUUAUAGAUGGAUCCGCGCCGUAUUAGCUAGUUGGUAAGGUAACGGCUUACCAAGGCAACGAUACGUAGCCGACCUGAGAGGGUGAUCGGCCACACUGGAACUGAGACACGGUCCAGGCGCCUACGGGAGGCAGCAGUAGGGAAUCUUCCGCAAUGGGCGAAAGCCUGACGGAGCAACGCCGCGUGAGUGAUGAAGGUCUUCGGAUCGUAAAACUCUGUUAUCAGGGAAGAACAAAUGUGUAAGUAACUGUGCACAUCUUGACGGUACCUGAUCAGAAAGCCACGGCUAACUACGUG